AGCUGUUCCCCUCUGGAGGUUUAUUGACCUUCACACCUUUAAAGGGCCCCGAUCUUUCGGUGGCCCUCUUUUUUUGCCCAA
rnacentral:sRNA from 1 species